AUUUAAGUGAGCAAGUUUGAGAAUAAACAAGUAUCCUUCCUCUCAGAAAAAAUAAAAAGUUGAAACAAUGGCUGUCUCUUCUUCACCAAAAUUGAUUUUGCUUUUGGUCACUCUCAUGGCUACUGCUCAUCUGAUGACUUGGCCUCAAGUAAACGCCGUGAGAGAAAUUGGUGAAGAAUUAAGAGGAAUGCAAUUACUGUACCCUCAUGAUCUAAAUGGUGUUACUUGUGCGAGACGAUGCAACUACGAUGAAGACUGCAAUGAUGGUUGGGUUUGCAACAAAUGUAGAUGGGAUGUUAUAACUAGUAAAUACAUCUGUGGCCCUUUCAAUUCACUUCCCUCUGCACCUAUAUAUUAAUAUGGGAUGCAAUAAGUUGGUACGUUGCAUGCAAUAAUAUUAUACUAUUAUAUUGCAUGCUUUAAAUAAAUAAAAGUUCUAAAUCUAUGGCUAGUUGUGCAUGCAGUCUAGCCAGAUUGCGUGUACAUGCUAGAAUAUUGUAAAAUGGUUCCACUUUUCAUCUGUGAAAAUCAGUGGACUGGCUGCUAUCUUUGUGUAAUAUUGUUGGUUGUGCUAAUAAACAUUAGUGUGAAAUGUGUGUUUUAUUA